UACGUAGGGUGCAAGCGUUAAUCGGAAUUACUGGGCGUAAAGCGUGCGCAGGCGGUUUUGUAAGUCUGUCGUGAAAUCCCCGGGCUCAGCCUGGGAAUUGCGAUGGAGACUGCAAGGCUAGAAUCUGGCAGAGGGGGGUAGAAUUCCACGUGUAGCAGUGAAAUGCGUAGAGAUGUGGAGGAACACCGAUGGCGAAGGCAGCCCCCUGGGUCAAGAUUGACGCUCAUGCACGAAAGGCGUGGGGAGCAAACGAGGAUAAACCCCAGUA
rnacentral:rRNA from 1 species